UCGCUCUGGCGGCAAACGUAGUAAAAUUGGAACAAUGCUAAGAAGAUCAGCAUGGCCUCUGCACAAGGAUGAUACACAAAUUUGUGGAGUGUUUCAGAUUUUU